rnacentral:lncRNA from 1 species
GGCAUUGACAUGGUCGACAUCGGUUCCAAAUUCCGAAGGUAGAAAUCUCUAUAUAAGUUUUAAAAAUAUAGGUUAAUGGGCAGAUCCAGAGUUAGCAUACUUGGACUAGCUGCCAGCUGGACAAGAACAAACACAAACAUGCUAGAAAAAUGUUCAACUUAAAAGGGCGUUAGUUGAGCUAUGUACGAACCAAACAUCGGCGAAGCUUUUAAGGGGCGGGAGGGAGCAGCCGACCCCUGAACUUUUCGCUCAGUAGUGUAGAGUAUGUAGUUUUCGUAUAGAAAUUUUUCGGUAUAUACGUUUUCGACUCCCCAGUUUUAUAGAAAUUUUUAGAUCCAUUGACUUCUGCCCCCGGGUCGAAAAUCUCAAGCUUUGCCACUGGAACCAAAUGGGCUAGAAAAGGUUUAAUUUAAAGGGCAUAACUUUAGCCACAUACGUUAGCAUACUUGGACAAAAACAAACACAAAACAUGCUAGAAAAAGGGCGUAACAUGAGCUAUGUGCAGACCAAACGGGCUAGAAAGGGUUCAAAUUUAAAGGGCAUAACUUUAGCUACGUAUGGUACGAUACCAUACUUGGACUAGUUGGUAAAAAAAACAAACACAAACAUGCUAAAAAAAGGUUCAACUUAAAAGGGCAUAACUUGAGCAAUGUGCGAACCAAAUGGGCUAGAAACGGUUCAACUUUAAAGAGCAUAACUUGAGCAACGUACAACACUACGCGGCCUAGAAAAGUUCCAACUUAAAAUGUCACAACUUGAUUUACGUGUGGACAAAAAGAUAGAAAAGGUACAUCUUAAAAGGGCAUAACUUGAGCUUUGAGCUACAUGCAGAUAAAACAAAACCGGCCAGAAUAGUCAAAUUAUAACUUCAGCUACACAUGUUUGAACAAAAAUGAAAGUUACCUUUACAUUUCCUGCUUCUUUAAUGGCUGCAAUGAGCUUGACUUGAUCAGCUACCAGUUCGCCACCUAUCGUCGAGAUCACAACAUCAACAUGCUUGAUUGCCUUCACCAAACUUUCAUGAUCAUGGAUAUCACCCUGGAAACAUGUCAUUUAAAACAUAGAUUACCCAAUAACUAAUUGCCACAAGAUGAGGAUGAACAAAAACAAUAAUUAAAAGGCUUUAAUUACAUAUAGAAUUGUGGCACCGAGUGUUUUAAAACUGUCAAUGAGCUUGGCUUUUUCU